GGGCUGGGGCUCAGCGGUAGAGCACUCGCCUCGCACGUGAGAGGCUCUGGGUUCCAUCCUCAGCACCACA
rnacentral:tRNA from 1 species